rnacentral:rRNA from 1 species
UACGGGGGGGGCAAGCGUUGUUCGGAAUUACUGGGCGUAAAGAGCUCGUAGGUGGUUUGUCGCGUUGUUCGUGAAAACUCACAGCUCAACUGUGGGCGUGCGGGCGAUACGGGCAGACUUGAGUACUGCAGGGGAGACUGGAAUUCCUGGUGUAGCGGUGGAAUGCGUAGAUAUCAGGAGGAAUACCGAUGGCGAAGGCAGGUCUCUGGGCUGACACUGACGCUCAUGCACGAAAGCGUGGGGAGCAAACAGG